GGAGCCGAGAUUCAAAUCAACGCGCUAAGCAUGUAGAUCUGCCCGGUGAUGGCUUACGGACGGGGGUUCAAUUCCCCCCGGCUCCACCA
rnacentral:tRNA from 1 species